AACAUCGCGCACCUGCGGGAACCUGCGGAAGGAUCAUUACAGAGUUGCAAAACUCCCUAAACCAUUGUGAACGUUACCUAAAACCGUUGCUUCGGCGGGCGGCGCGCCCUCGCGCGCGCCCCUGGGCCCCCACCGCGGGGCGCCCGCCGGAGGUCACCAAACUCUUGAUAUUUUUUUGGCCUCUCUGAGUCUUCUGUACUGAAUAAGUCAAAACUUUCAGCAACGGAUCUCAGAUCGGAA
rnacentral:misc_RNA from 1 species